UUGUGUUCGAGGAGGAAGUUGUUUUGUUUGAUGAGCUAUCUAUCUCAUCAAACAAAACAACUUCCUCCUCGAACACAA
rnacentral:pre_miRNA from 1 species